UACGUAGGGUGCAAGCGUUAAUCGGAAUUACUGGGCGUAAAGCGUGCGCAGGCGGUUGUGCAAGACAGAUGUGAAAGCCCCGGGCUUAACCUGGGAAUGGCAUUGGAAACUGGCGAGCUUGAGUGCGGCAGAGGGGGGUGGAAUUCCGCGUGUAGCAGUGAAAUGCGUAGAGAUGCGGAGGAACACCGAUGGCGAAGGCAGCCCCCUGGGUCGACACUGACGCUCAGGCACGAAAGCGUGGGGAGCAAACAGG
rnacentral:rRNA from 1 species